rnacentral:misc_RNA from 1 species
UACUGGCGAUGAGUAAUGCUCGCUAUUAUGUACACUGUUACACUUAGCUCUUACACUGCGCACAGCACACAGACUGAUAUCGAAUAGUGAACUGAAGUGUUGACUCCCUCUUCUCUGUACAGCACAACAUUCACCGCAUGGCAGCACGGACAGUGAACCCGGUACCUAAACCACCAAGAACAUUCACAGACACGAAACCAGUUUCCGAACGAAGUCCAGAAGAGAAAUCAAAACCUGAGCAAAGACUGAAUAUAAAACAGGAUAUCUGCACCGAGCGUGCAUCCAAACAAACAGCUGUUGACCAGUCAAGAGAAGCAUCGACCACCAAGGAAGAAACGUCCCCGGCAGUUCACAGUUACACGUCAAAAAUGAUAAGGUUCUUUGAAUCAAAAUAGUGCAACGACGAAUUAAAUACAACGUCAAUGAGUCAAUGGUGUUUUAUGCCGCACUCAGCACCUCCUCGAUUAUCCAGUCUCUAAUACCUUUAUCACUAUACAAUGGAAGUAUGAUAGACUAUAUAAUCGAGGGUGUCGUCACAGCGGGCAGGUUUGUGGCAAGGCAAGCAUGAACAAGGAGCCAUAAUGAGUACAAUGGAAAACUAUCGGCCAGACCUCUCUCAAACCAUCUGACACCAAGUUUGCUCUCUGGUCGAUGGUCUCGAAGCUGACACUUGCAGCAAGGGCGGACCAUAGUAUACGAAAGAUCUUCUACCAAAGGUCUUGAGGUUGAGAGUCGGAAUAAUAACCGUCUACACUAUGCGAAAGAUCAUUAACCAAGGGUCUUAAGAUUGAGACUUGGAAUAGUAAGAGUCCACACUAUGCGAAAGAUCUUUCACCAAGGUUUCGAGGUUGAGACUUGGAACAGAGAAGGACAUAAGCGUGCGAAAACUCUUUUUCCAAAAGUGUUGAGACUGACACUUAUGUGCGAAAGAUCUUUGUCCAAAGGGUCUGAGAUUUUACGCUUUGAACUUUGAGGGACCACAGAUUACGAAAGACCUUGGACCAAAUGUCUUGACACUGACAUAUAUGGAUGAGCGUGGGGGACCACAGUGUGCAAGAUAAUUUAUUUAUCAGUUUUAUAGGUUCUUUGACCAAAGUUCUUGUGACUAAAACUUGGGCAGUGAGUGGCCACAGUGUGAAAACACCUUUUUGGCCAAUGGUCUCGAAGUUGACACCUGCUAGAAUUGACGGACCACAAAGUGCAAAAUACCACUGAGGUCUUGAACAGAGUGAUUAAGAUCUUUUGGCAGACAUGAAGUACUUAUGACCUGAUGAGACAUCGAAUUCCAACAGGCUGUGAAAAUAAAAAAGUCUAACAGAAAUUGCUCAAAAAUGGAUAAUAAAGGUGUUAGUAAAAUCCUUGUUAUACCGUGCUGUAACAGAACCUCACUGAAACAAUCGGCUCGUCCAAACCCUUUAUAUUUCACAAUGUGGGUAACAGAAUAAGCCGAUUGGUUCUGAGUGACUGAAGCCAAGAUGCAGACCACGAUUCAUGCUCCUGUAUACUAUGAACUAGAAUCACACAGAUCUCAACCAUCCCGGCAUCAACAUGAUCGCUCACUGUAAUCACCCAAUCACCAAUCAGAUGUCGCAGUGAAUACACCGAAUCAUGUACUCAGUUUAAACAGCACGCAGGUUAUAUCGUAACCCAACCACUCGUCAUGCGGUCACACUUGUUGAUCAAGUUCUACAGCUUGAUGGAAAAGGGGGAGUUAAUUUUGUGUUCACAUUCCACGAAGUAACAUUUGUAUGAUCUGAAAGUAACCUACAAGACAUCCAUUCAGGUUUUAAUGUCUGUAACACUUGUGGCAAUACAUUAUUUCUUCGAGAAUCUCUAACUGAUUGAAGUGAUCAACUGUGAAUAACAUGAAUUACGUCAAAUGUGAGAUCUAAAUAAAUAUUUUUACUUUCGUUUUCAA